rnacentral:rRNA from 1 species
GGCUACACACGUGCUACAAUGGGUAGUACAGAGAGUCGCAAAGCCGUGAGGUGGAGCUAAUCUCAGAAAACUAUUCUUAGUUCGGAUUGUACUCUGCAACUCGAGUACAUGAAGUUGGAAUCGCUAGUAAUCGCGAAUCAGCAAUGUCGCGGUGAACACGUUCUCGGGUCUUGUACACACCGCCCGUCACACCACGAGAGUUGGUUGCACCUGAAGUAGCAGGCCUAACCGUAAGGAGGGAUGCUCCGAGGGUGUGAUUAGCGAUUGGGGUGAAGUCGUAACAAGGUAUCCGUACGGGAACGU